AUUGAACGCUGGCGGCAGGCCUAACACAUGCAAGUCGAGCGGAUGAAGGGAGCUUGCUCCUGGAUUCAGCGGCGGACGGGUGAGUAAUGCCUAGGAAUCUGCCUGGUAGCGGGGGAUAACGUCCGGAAACGGGCGCUAAUACCGCAUACGUCCUGAGGGAGAAAGUGGGGGAUCUUCGGGCCUCACGCUAUCAGAUGAGCCUAGGUCGGAUUAGCUAGUUGGUGGGGUAAAGGCCUACCAAGGCGACGAUCCGUAACUGGUCUGAGAGGAUGAUCAGUCACACUGGAACUGAGACACGGUCCAGACUCCUACGGGAGGCAGCAGUGGGGAAUAUUGGACAAUGGGCGAAAGCCUGAUCCAGCCAUGCCGCGUGUGUGAAGAAGGUCUUCGGAUUGUAAAGCACUUUAAGUUGGGAGGAAGGGCAGUAAGUUAAUACCUUGCUGUUUUGACGUUACCAACAGAAUAAGCGCCGGCUAACUUCGUG
rnacentral:rRNA from 1 species